GGAAGAGCGUCUCAUCCGGUGAUGGGACCGGACUUCAAAUCCGGGAGGGGCCGCGAGCCGGUCCUUGGUGGGUUCGACUCCCAUUCUCUUCCGCCA
rnacentral:tRNA from 2 species